UGGGGAAUUUUGCACAAUGGGGGAAACCCUGAUGCAGCGACGCCGCGUGAUUUAGAAGGCCUUCGGGUUGUAAAAAUCUUUUCUAUGGGAAGAAAAUGACAGUACCAUAGGUAUAAGGACUGGCUAAUUACGUGCCAGCAGCCGCGGUAAUACGUAAGGUCCGAGCGUUGUCCGGAAUCCUUGGGCGUAAAGGGUACGUAGGCGGGUAAGCAAGUUAGAAGUGAAAACCUAUAGCUCAACUAUAGUAAGAUUUUAAAACUGCUCAUCUUGAUGUAUGGAAGGGAAGGUGGAAUUCCUAGUGUAGCGGUGAAAUGCACAGAUAUUAAUAGGAAUACCGGUGGCGAAGGCGACUUUCUGGCCAUAACCUGACGCUGAGGUACGAAAGCGUGGGUAGCAAACAGG
rnacentral:rRNA from 1 species